rnacentral:rRNA from 1 species
UUACAAUGGAGAGUUUGAUCCUGGCUCAGGAUGAACGCUAGCGGCAGGCCUAAUACAUGCAAGUCGAACGAGAUUUGGGACUUCGGUUCCAAUGAAAGUGGCGCACGGGUGCGUAACACGUAUGCAACCUACCUUAUACAGGGGGAUAGCCCGGGGAAACCCGGAUUAAUACCCCAUGGUAUAGACGAAUCGCAUGAUUUGUUUAUUAAAGAUUU